UUUUUUUUUCGUGGAACGUAGCAUUUUUUCAGAUAAUUGCUAUUUAGGGCGAAAAGAUUCUCACAAAAAAAAUAUGAAGUAAUUAAAGAAAGAAUAAGGUAAAAUUUUCAUUGUUUAUCAUUUCUUUCAUAAAUGCCUUCAAUUGUUGUUUUGUUGUUGUUGUUGCCUAACUACAUUUUUUAGUUCAAUAUUAAACUAUUUUUUUGCAUGAUAAACUCUUCUAUUAGUAGUAUUUCUCUUCAUUUGAUUUAUUUCUGUUUUUUUUAGUUCGUGUAAUAAUUAUUUUAAAACAAGGAGAGUACCCUUGGGUCUUUAGCCUCCUUCAGGUUUCUGACUUUUAGAAUUUGGAUCUACUUUUUACUCUUUGGUUUGUGCCUUUGGGCCUACAUAUUUUGUAUUUGUGAAAAAAAAAUCUUUUUAAGUCUAAUAUAAAACAUUAUUUUUUUUAAAAGUUCAAAUUGUCUUUUAUUUAUGAAGAAAAAAAGUUUGAUAAGGCAAUUACAUCAUAUUCAACAAGAGGGUAAAUUCCUUCCUCUGCGUGUAAGAGCUUCACAGUCCCUCAAAAACUCCGCUUUAUAGGAUUGGUCAUGGAUGUUCUUCCUUUUCCAAGCUAAGUAUAACAGUUGGCAAUCAGUUUCGAACAACGCAUUGGAGAAGCACAUAUCUGAAUUUUUUUUCAGUUUGAUUUUUUGAGUUUAAAAAGUUUUAUUUGAUCAUUUGAAGUUCCUCUGUUAAACUAAAUUGGUUAUUCCAAAAUUUAUCUAUCAACUUAGUUAAUUUAGUAAAACAUGAAAAACUGUGAGAUGUUAGGUUAAAUGAACUUUUAUCACGUCAAUUAAAUUUGACAUCGUUAGUGUAAAAAAAUUAAUGAAAGAACCAACUUGUUCUAACCGACACAUUUUAAAAGAUUAAAGUCAAACGGUUUAAAGUUAAGGUUUAAUUGUAUUUUUUAUUUCCAAUUUUUUUUUUAAUUUUUUGUGAAUUUUAUUUUUAAUAUUUUAAUUUGGUGUAUUUUACCGUUAACUUUUAAAAAUCCUGAAAAUUCUAUCCUAUGUCGUUUUACUAUUAAGAUAAUUGUAUUCUUUAUUCCUAAUUUUUUUUUUGUUGUUGUCAAAGUUUAUUCCUAAUUUUUUUUUUUUGUUGUUGUCAAAGUUUAUUCCCAACUUUUCAAAUUUUCAACGACUUUCAUUCUUAACUUUUUUUUAAAAAAAUUAUCCUUAAUUUUUAUGUUUAUUAAUGGAGAAAUGACAGAAUAAAAUUCACAAAUCUUUUUAAAAGUUUAAAAUAAAAUACACCAAAUUCAAAAGUUGGAAUAAAAUUUGCAAAAAAAAUUAAAAAAUUGAAAAUAAAAAAUACAAUUAAGACUAAAUUUAAAAGAAUAAACUAAAAACAAAAGGAAAAUAUAAAUAAGGUACCAAAAUUCUCUCUGGGCAUUCGGCUACGUCCUUUUGUACUGUUAAAAAAAAGGAUAUACUUUUUAACUUUAAGUGUUCAUUAUUAAUUAAUUUAUCUGCAGUUAUCGCGCGUUUAAAUUAAUGAGUUGAUUUUGACAUGGUCUGAUGAGAUCCAAUUAACAAAAAUUAGUAAAUUACAUGAUUAAUAGUCAUGCAAUUAUAGCUAGGCAAAUCAACAUACAAAAACUUCAUUAAUUACCACGAAUCGACAACAAAAACUUUCAAUCGAUUGUGAAACUUCAUGAUUCUACACAACAAAUUAAAGUGAACAACAACGAUAUAUAUGUAAUAUGUUCACCAACAAUAGCUAGCUAGUGAGGACUAAACUCUUGGUCACAUUCUUCAGCCUCUUCGGCAAUGGUUUCUAACACAGGAACCUGUGAAACCUUUCUGACGCGAAUCACUGGAGCGGGUGCAAACUCAAUAUGGAAUGCCAAAAACUUGAUUUCCUUAGCCAUGUUGAGUUUCUAUGUGUUAGAGAUGAACUAAUAUUAGGAAAAGUGUUGGUUAUGAUUGGAGUUUAUGUGUGUGGCUGAAACUCGAGUUCUUACUUCUCCUCUCCACUACGAAGGUGGUGUGCUAUGAGAUGGAAGCCACUGAGGUUGCUCUUUUAUAUUAGGGUUAAAGUAACCAUGUUAUUAGUCUAUUAGAUAUGACCCACACUAUC
rnacentral:lncRNA from 1 species